rnacentral:rRNA from 1 species
UACGGAGGAUCCAAGCGUUAUCCGGAUUUAUUGGGUUUAAAGGGUGCGUAGGCGGCCUGUUAAGUCAGGGGUGAAAGACGGUAGCUCAACUAUCGCAGUGCCUUUGAUACUGACGGGCUUGAAUGCAGUUGAAGUGGGCGGAAUGUGCCAAGUAGCGGUGAAAUGCAUAGAUAUGUCACAGAACACCGAUUGCGAAGGCAACUCACUAAAGUGCGAUUGACGCUGAGGCACGAAAGCGUGGGGAUCAAACAGG